AGGAUGAACGCUGGCGGCGUGCCUAACACAUGCAAGUCGAACGUCCUGUCUCGCAAGAGGCAGGGAGUGGCGGACGGGUGAGUACCACGUGGGUUAUCUACCGUGAGGUGAGGAAUACCGGCGAGAAAUCGCCGACAAGACCGCAUAGCCUCGGUGCAAGCCGAGGAAAGCUUUCUCGAGAGAGGGAGCGCCACACGAGGAGCCUGCGCCCGAUUAGCUAGCUGGUGGAGUAACGGUUCACCAGGGCGACGAUCGGUAGCUGGUCUGAGAGGACGAUCAGCCACACUGGGAUUGAGAACGGCCCAGACUCCUACGGGGGGCAGCAGUGAGGAAUUUUCGUCAAUGGGGGCAACCCUGAACGAGCAACGCCGCGUGCAGGAAGAAGGUUUUCGGAUCGUAAACUGCUUUUCUCGGGGAAGAGAACGGACGGUACCCGAGGAAUCACGCCCCGGCUAACUACGUGCCAGCAGCCGC
rnacentral:rRNA from 1 species